rnacentral:rRNA from 1 species
UACAGAGGGGGCAAGCGUUGUUCGGAAUUACUGGGCGUAAAGGGCGCGUAGGCGGCCCGCUAAGUCGAACGUGAAAUCCCCGAGCUCAACUCGGGAACUGCGUCCGAUACUGGCGGGCUUGAAUCCGGGAGAGGGAUGCGGAAUUCCAGGUGUAGCGGUGAAAUGCGUAGAUAUCUGGAGGAACACCGGUGGCGAAGGCGGCAUCCUGGACCGGCAUUGACGCUGAGGCGCGAAAGCUAGGGUAGCAAACGGG